AGCAUAUUCAGUCUUCAGAUGGUCCAACUCAUUUUGUAACCCUGUUUUCUCGGAGGCAACUGCAUUUACCAUCUGUUCUGCUUCCAGAAGCUUGUUUUCUGUCAGGCACAACAUCUCCUUUUUACUUUCUAUCUCGUCAUUCAGACAGUCCUUGACCGAUCGAACAGAUGUCAGCUCCUUCUCCAAAAUCUCCACCAAUAGCUCAGAUUGCAACUUAUCUGUUUGCAUUUUCUCCAACAUCUCCUUUUUACUUUCUAUCUCGUCAUUCAGACGGUCAUUGACCGAUCGAACAGAUGUCUGCUCCUUCUCCAAAAUCUCCACCAAUAGCUCAGAUUGCAACUUAUCUGUUUGCAUUUUCUCC
rnacentral:lncRNA from 1 species